AACGAACGCUGGCGGCGUGCCUAACACAUGCAAGUCGAGCGGGAAAGUUCCCUUCGGGGAGCGAGUACAGCGGCGAACGGGUGAGUAACACGUAGGUAACCUACCCCGGAGACCGGGAUAACCUGUCGAAAGGCGGGCUAAUACCGGAUAAGACCACGAGGGCUGCGGCCCUUGGGGUAAAAGAUGGCCUCUGCUUGCAUGCUAGUACUCCGAGAUGGGCCUGCGCACCAUUAGCUAGUUGGUGAGGUAACGGCUCACCAAGGCUGAGAUGGUUAGCUGGUCUGAGAGGAUGAUCAGCCACACUGGGACUGAGACACGGCCCAGACUCCUACGGGUGGCAG
rnacentral:rRNA from 1 species